rnacentral:misc_RNA from 1 species
AACGCAACUUGCGCUCUCUGGUAUUCCGGGGAGCAUGCCUGUUUGAGUAUCGCAAAGCAACACAAAUCAUAUUCUUUUUUUGUUUGAAAAAAGAAUAUGGAGUUGAGCCUAUUUUUCUCUCUCUUUUUUUUUGGAGGGAGGGGGAAUGGCUUGAAAUACAGAAGGACGGGAGUUCUUUAUAUUUUAUAUGAAGGACUCCAUCAGGUCAAACAAUUUUAUACUUGAGCAAAUAAUUAGUUAAUGCUUUGAAUGAAAAAUUUAUUUUUUAUUCGAGCGUUAUUCUUCUUUGCUCGGUAGUCUGGCUUGGUAAUUUUAGUCGUCCUCACACUUUUUCCCGAUUUUUUUCUUUUAGAAAAAGCCCGGGAGAGGGGAAACAGCGAUAAAAAGCUCGACGAAGUUUUUUAUGACUUCCGACCUCUUAGAUCUCAAAUCAGGCAAGAGUACCCGCUGAACUUAA